UACGGAGGGUGCAAGCGUUAUCCGGAUUCAUUGGGUUUAAAGGGUGCGCAGGCGGAAUGAUAAGUCAGUGGUGAAAUCCUACAGCUCAACUGUAGAACUGCCAUUGAUACUGUCGUUCUUGAGUAUAGUUGAAGUGGGUGGAAUGUAUCAUGUAGCGGUGAAAUGCAUAGAUAUGAUACAGAACUCCGAUAGCGAAGGCAACUCACUAAACUAUAACUGACGCUCAUGCACGAAAACGUGGGGAGCAAACAGG
rnacentral:rRNA from 1 species